AAUAUAUUACAUUACUGUAACAUAUUAUAAAAUAUAUAAUAUAUAAUAUAUACUUCCAGAAUUUUAUAUAUCUUAUAUAUUUUAUAAUUUCAACUUUUAUUUUAGAUAUAGGGGGUUCAUGUACAGGUUUGUUACAUGUGUAUAUUGCAUGGUACUGUGGUUUGGUGUAUGGAUCUCAUCACCCAAGUAGCGAGCAUAGUACCCAGUAGUUAGUUUUUCAACCCACACCCCUCUCCCUCCCACCCCUCUGUAGUAGUCCCCAGUAUCUAUCGUUCCUGUCUUUAUGUCCAUGUACUCAAUGUUUAGCUCCCACGGUAUUUGGUUUGAAGUUUAAAGUUGGGUAAUGUGAUGCCUCCAGCUUUGUGGAACAAUAUUGUUAACCAUUGCAUACACUACCUCUUAGGUAUGGCCAUGUUGCAUGCCUUACAAAAUCUGUUAUUCAGAGAGGUGGAAUGAUUGUACAAGGCAACAAUGACAGUGGUGGUUCUCACCCUCCAUUCCAAGCCAGAAUUGCUGUUAUGUUAGUGAUAUAAAUGCUUGAUAUUGAUAUCAAGGAGAAGUAACUCAGGAAAUGAAGACUGGUUAUGGACUCAUGGCCUGGCUUUCCUGGUGGUUCUCUAAACUUUGAAGAUUUUUGUAUGCCAAUGUUUACAUUUGAAGAUGUUGGCCAUUUAAUAGAUAAUACAUGAGGAUAUUCAUAGAGUUCUUUUGGUAGAGUGUUUAGAGCAUAGUCUUUGGGAUUCUCAUUGAUUUAUUCAACAAGUAUUUAUUAGAAUUCUAUUGUGUGUCAGACAUUGUGGAUACAAAUAUGAGACAGAAUUGGUUCCUGUUUCUUGCUAAGCAAGGGAGAGGGACAGUAAACAUGCAAUCACGUUUCAAUGUCAUACGUGCAGGGUCCAGGCACUCACUCUAAGCUGAAGGUGCAGAGUGAGAAAGGAAUGGCAGCGGGUGCUUUAUAUCCCUACUGCCAUUAAUUUACUGUACAGCCCCAGAUAAGUUCCUUAUACUCUAUGACAUCAAUUUCUUUGUGUAGGAUGGGCUAAUGUCAAGUCACAAAGGCUUUAGAGAAAUGAAUUAAAUUACUAUAUAAAGUACUUAAUACAUUGGCCAGCAGAUAACAGGUGUGUAACUCAUAAAGCUAUUUUGUCCUCUAACCAUUUUCUCCAAGCACUCUCAUUUACCAAUGAGGAUAAGAAGGAAGUAUUGCUUUACUUAAACAAUAGAUAGUAGAUUUAGAAAAUGGAAGUGAAACAAAGCAUAAUUAGUGAACUUAAUUUUAUACUGAAUUCUGCUAUGUAUUCAAUACUGUGCUAAGAGAAGCAGAUACAAAAUCAGGGACCCAGGCACUUGCCGCCAUCAUAAAGUUUCUAUCAUGGCAAUGGAAACUGCCAUACAACUCUUUCUCUACUGCCAUGCCAGAAAACACAUUAAUCAAAGCAGGAAAGGAGGGAGAAGAAUGGCUUCUGCAAAAGACACAGUUGCCUGAAGAGGAGGAGAUUUGGAGUGGGCACGAAUUAGUCUUACUCUGUAUUACUUGGACAGAACUCAUACCAAUGAAUAGAACAUACCUGGUUUGAUGCAGAAAAAAAUUUUCUAACACUAGAGAUGCUUAUACAUGUGAUAAGCCUCCUGGUGCAAUACUCAAUGCCAAGACUGCAUGUGUGUGAGCAGCUACCACCUGGGUUUUUGGUGGCAUCCAGUCAUGGUCUUUCUAAGGCCUCUUUGAACUCUGUUUCUAUGACCUGGGCAAGAAUUAAGUUUUCUAUGAAAAUAGUAUUUAUUAAAAAUCAUCACUGUGUCUUGUGCUUGCAUACCUUCCAUAUUUUAUCUUAAAGGCCAGCCUGAAGAGCUUAUUUUCUUCUAGAGCCAAUUCUGUGCUGGUGUCUGUUGAUUGAUAUCACAAAACCUAGCUCAUUGCCUUUACUUAAAUAAUCCUUGCUACUUUUCUUUCCUGUGGUCUGGAAUUCUACCACUAGUUACUGAUAAGGAUUUAACAUUUUAAAUAUCGUCAAGAAUCUCUUAUUAAUUGCAAAUGUCUCUGAAGAAGGGUUCCCAAGGACUGUUAAUUUUGGUCAGUUAUUUUUUUAAGGAGGAAUUAGCUUAGCACACAUAACAGUUGUUAAAAAAUUUUUAGUGUUAACUCCAAUCAACUGAUAGUGGCUGUCCUGCAGCUUUGUGCUGUGAGUGUUUCUAAGACUGAGCAUAAGCUCAGAGAGAAAGAGUGCAGUGAUCAGAUAGCAGUGUCUGCAGUGGGUAACAGUCUUGGAGCAUUCUUCCAAAGGAUUUGACAAAAGAUUGGACUUAGUUUAAUAGGUACAUUUUUGAUAGUUCUAAGAAGUUUAGAGUAAGAUUUCAGGGGAACAGCUCUAAGGAUACAUGACAAAAGAGACAAUGAAUGUUAAGGCCGUUUAGAGGACCUCAAAAUGGAUGAUGGAGACCUGCCAAAGAUAGUCUUCCCCUUGCUGACCUUGGUGGGCUCUCUAGCAUCCUUCAUAUUCUUUAUGACAAGCCUAUGUGUCCCAAAACUAAAUAAUGACAGAUGUUUUGGGGUUGUUUUUCAGGCAAAUAUGUCUCUCUCACUUGUGAUAUAUUUUUGCUUAGAAAACCGGUAUUGAGAAUAUGUGAGUAGCAGAAUUAAGUAAGAUACUGUCAGCCUUAGAGCUUAUUUGAUCCAAACCUUCCAUUUAAAAAUGAGGAAAUUGAGAAGAGAAUAAAGUAAUAACCCAUGAUCUCCCAUUUUCAAAAUUUUAGACUUUACAUGUAUAGACAUCUUACAAUUGUUAUUUAGUAACUAAUUACCUGUUUACUGCCUUAGACCCAAGAAUUGGUUGAUAGGCAAAGCAGACAAUAGCUGAGGGAUAUUGAGUCUAUGAACAAAUUACUUGACUCUGAGUCUUAAUUUCUCAUUCAAGACAUAAUAAUAUUGCUAACUAUCUGAGAGUCAUAUAAAGUGACCAUAGUAAGUGUUUGAUAAAUUAGGUCCCAUUAUUUUAGGUUCACUCCCAGUGCUUGUACAGCUCCUAACUCCCCUUCUCCCCAGGGACUUGAAAAUGUACCCAGCAUUAGAACCUGAGCCCUGACCAUUUAGUCAAUCUGUGGUAGUAUAUGUUUAUCUUCUUCCCUUCCACUUUAGAACUUUGGACAUGUCAACAAUCAUUUCUAAGAAAUGACGUAUUGCAGACCAACAUUUGCCAAGAGUGUUUAUGGAUUACUUAAUUAUAAAGUUUGCAUGUUGAAAUCUUAAAGAAACAAGCAGAUUGACAUGACUUGUUUAAAAAUGCAGUAUUCAUUAAUGAAUUCAAUCCAUCAGCAACAUUUCUUCAUUGUCAUAGAUUUCCUCAGUUUUAUCAGGGCCAUAGUUGCUUGGAAAAAAUAUUCACCAGAAAAAGGUUUCUUUUUAAUAGUAAUUACUUGAAAAGAAUAUAAAGUUCUUCAUUUCUCUCAAAUGAUAGAACACUUUCCAUAAAGGUUCUCACGAAGUAAUGAAGACUGCUAAACCCACAUCUUUUCUUGUUUUCUUCAGCUACAUUAAAUGUCAAUCUCGUUAGAGAAGUUUACUAGAUGAGGGUGGAAAAUCCUAUUUACAAUUUACAUAUUCCAGGUAUAAGGAUAAGAUAAGUAAGGCACAAUGACUACUAAAGCGUACAUGAGAAGGCUUAUCUUUUUCAGAGGUCAUUACUGUAAGUAGAAUCAUUGAAAAUUGCAAGACAUUAAUUUGUGGAAUGAAUAUACAGAGAGAGCUGAUAUAUUGAAGCAACACACACAGGAAUAUUCCACUUUAGCCUCACUUCCACUCUAGGUAAAAGAAUGUUCUAUUUUAAACUUACGUUUAGAAUUGGAUAAGCAGUUUUAGACAAAGCAAUACUUUGAAUAAUAGCAGAAAUAAUAUUAUGAGCUAAAUUAUUCAGUACCUGUUAUGUGCCAGGCCCUGUGCUCAGUACUUCACACAUAUGCUUUCUUAUUUUAUUUUCUUAUUUUUAAAUUGUAUUUUUAGAAACAGGGUCUUGCUCUGUUAUCCAGGCUAGAAUGCAGUGGUAUGAUCAUUCAUACCACCUUGACAUCCUGGGCUCAAUUGAUCCUCCUGCCUUAACCUCCUGAGUAGGUAGGACUACAGGGGCCUAACCCUGUACCUGAGUAGUUUUUCAUUUUUUUGUAGAGAUGAGGUCUAACUAUAUUGCCCAGGCUGGUCUGAAACUCCUGGCCUCAAGUCUUGGCAUCCUGGCCUCCUGCAUUGGCACCCUAAAGUGCCGGGAUUACAGGCAUGAGUCAUCAAGCCCAGCCCAUAUAUGCUUUCAUGUAAUCUUAACUACCACCCAAUAUAGUAGAACUUAUUUAAAUUUUAUUGCCAGAGAAACAGAAACUCAGAGAGCUCAAGUUAUUUUCCCAAGAGCAUAGUAAGUACCAGAGCUAGAAGUUGAACUCAGAAUAGCUGUCGCUGAAACCUUUUCUUAUUUUAAUAUAGUAAAUGAUAAUGGUUUGUUUAUUUAACAACUGCUAAGCUCUUUGGGAGCUAUUAUUAUAGGAAAAAUGGCACUGUUAUCAAUAGAGAACAUAUGCAUGUGAUUUUGGUGAGUGGAGAUGAUGAAGAAGAUGGAGGUGAUCCAAGAUGUGUGAAACACCGACUUUGCUGAAUUAAGCCUGGCAAGUUCUGGAGGCUGGGACCUCCAAGAUCAAGGCACUGGCAGAUUUGGUAUCUGGUAAGCAUCCUUAUAUUCGGAAUCUGGGAUGGCUCUACAUUCUGGUCCAUAGAAGGUGCCUACUGAGGUGUCUUAACAUGGUGAAAAAGGUAAACCAGCUCCCUUGGGCUUCUUUUAUAAGGGCACUGGUUGCAGUCAUGAAGACUCCAACCUCAUCACCUAAUCACCUCCCCAAAGGCACCGCCUACUAACACUAUCACCUUGGGGUUAGAUUUUCAAUGUAUGAAUUUUAGGGGACACAAGCAUUCAGGUAGCACAGCAGCAAAUAAAAUCUCACUUAUUCAGCCAUACAGUAUAUUAAUAGCCAGAAUUACCCAGACAGAAUGUAAGAGACAUGUGAGUUUUAUUAUCACUAUUGUUUUGUCUGAAAUUUGAAAUAACAUUAAUUGUUUUUGGAGGGAAUGGAGCAAUGAUAUAACAAAAAACAAUGGAAGAAAAGGGCUUGAGGCUAUCUUUAACAUAAAUAUUAUGUUUCAGCCCCAACAUUAUGGUUGCUCAGUUUCUUCAGAAAGCAACUCAUGGAGAAGUACAAACCACAGUUAGAAAGUUGAGAGAUUUCAAUGAGAAGCACAGGACCUUUAAGUCACAUGGUUACCUUCAGAAUGCACUCACCAAUUGAAUACUAUUGUCUGACAUUCUCAUAUAAUGAAUCCUGGGAAACUGAAGUAUUAAUUUUAAAAAUUUUCUGAGAAAAUAUGAAGAAGAAAAAAAAACAGUAAAUAUAUGAUGGGAUCCUUUUCCCAACUCUGAGUAGACAUAGAAAAAUCAUGUCUCACUGGGUGCGGUGGCUCACGCCGGUAAUUCCAGCACUUUGGGAGGCUGAGGUGGGCGGAUCACCUGAGGUUGGGAGUUUGAGACCGGCCUGACCAACAUGAAGAAACCCUGUCUCUACAAAAAAAAGAAAAAGAAAAAAUUAGCCGGGCGUGGUGGCGCAUGCCUGUAAUCCCAGCUACUCAGAAGGCUGAGAAGAGAGAAUCGCUUGAACCCGGGAAGGCAGAGGUUGUGGUACAGUUAUGAAACAUCUAGAAGUCAUCCAUUCUUGUAUAGACUUACUCUCCUGACAUGUCUACUUGCUAUGAAACAGCUGUUUAGUCAUGUUGCCAAGAAGAAAAGAAGACAGAAUGCCUCUAGAUAAAGAAAUGCUAUUCCUAUGUCAAUUUGCUAUGCAAAGUGUGGACUGUGGACCAGCAGCAUGUGCGUCGCCUGGCAGCUUGUUGGAAAUGCAGAAUCUGAAGCUCUCAUCUAGACCUACUAAACAGACUUCACUUUAACAAUAUAUCUGGGCAAGUCAUAUAGUCAUUAAAAUUUGAGAAGUAUGAUCUAGCAUAGAUAUUACUUCAUAAUAAAUGUUUAAUGUUUCAGUUACUAUUGCUGCAUAGCAAAACACCCCAAAAUUUAGUGACUUAAAAUGACAACUACCAUUUUAUUGUGAGGAAUUCAGGAAAGGCUCAUUUGGGUGUUUGGCUUAUGAUCUUUCAUAUGGGUGCAGUCAGACAAUGUCUGGAUCUGGGACUCUGGGGGACUGAAGCACCUGGUCACUGGUCUGACAUCUUUAUUUCUUCUUAUACAAUCUCAGGGCCUCUCUAUGUAUUCUUGCUGCUAGGCUAGUUUGGGCUUCCCAAAGUCUAGUAGCCUGAGGUCAGUUGGACUGCUUACACAUGGCCGAUGGCUUCAAAAAGAUGUACUCUAGUGGAGAGAGCACAAGUUGCUUGGCUUUUCUGAUCUAGCCUUAGAAGUCACUUCUGCCAUGCUCUAUUUGUUGAAACACCGUAAAACAUCAUCAGUUUGAAGGAGACAGUAUAUACACCUUACCUCUUCAUGGGAGGAUUGUCAAAGUCUCUCUGUAAGAAGAGCAUGGUAUAGGAGAUAUUGUUGUAGCCACCUUUGCAAAAUACAAUUGACACACUUAAUAUUUAUAACUAUUGCCUUUACUCCUUUAUUGUGUAGAGGUAAAUCAGUGAUUAAUUCCAGGUUAAAGGUACUUUUUGGCAUGCUCAAUAGCCGUCUUUACUUUACAGGAGGAGGUAGAGUGCCAGAUGGCUUUCCCAAAAGGCAUGCUGAAAAUUAUUAGUAGUUUGAUAAAGAUUCUGAUGAAUUCCUCAAGGCUAAAUGCAGUGCUGAAUUUUUCCUUGUCAUCUUCUUUGAUCUUCUCAGUGAGAAAUUAUCUCAUCUUCCUCCAAAGCCCAUUAGAAUGUUGCCUAUUUUAAAAGUUGAGUUCUUCAUAUCAUAAAUUAAAUAUUGUGUCUAAAGAGUUUCUGGCAUAUGCUACAUACUCAAUGAUUGCAGGUAUUUUCAUUAAAUCUAUUUAUAUAUAUUUCUUACCUCCUUCUCCUUUCUUUUCCUGGUGAACUGCAAUUCGUUUAGAAGCCAAUUCUGAAUUCCUAGGCAGAACAGUCAUAUUUUUCUUUCGGUUUCAAACUAAUUUAAACCCCAAACCAGUAUUCAUGCACAGACUUAUUAUAUUCCAUUACCUAGCAUUUCUAAAGAAUGACUUUUUUUUUUUUUUUUUUUUUUUUACAGAGGUGAGCUUUUUAGAUAACUUACACUAUUUUAAGUUACAAGGUUUUCGUAAUCUUAAUUUUUUUCAGUGGAAUUUUUUUGCUAAAUGUGUAAUAUGCACCUAUAAUGCUAAGCAUAAGCAGAUGCUCAUAAGCUAGGGAUUCUUUUUUCUUCCUCAUUUUGUGAUGUUUAUAGCCUUGCUGCUGCCAGCGUGUCUAUACCUAGUGGCAUUUGCUCCUUUCUCAGAGAAAAUUACAUAAUAGAUUGCAUAAACAUUCUAUCUAUGAUCAGAGAAUGUGAUCUAUGAGGGAAAGCCUCAGAGAAUCUCUUAUGAAGAAGUGAAUACAUUUGCUUGUUUUUGAUUUUGAAUGAGUAUGAUACAACAAAAUAAUAAUAAAUUAUAAAAUAUAAUUAAAUUUUAUUUAAUAAUAUUCAUUAAAUAAAAAUAUUAUUAUCAUGCCAGUUUUAUGGUUUGAAUAUCACCUUUGCAUGCAUUUUCUAACUUGUUUUUGAAAACCUCACUGUAAGGUACAGUUACUCAUAGUAAAAACAAUAUGUGAUCAAUAUAAUGUUUUUAAUAAAAAUAUGGAGUUGUUCUAAACUUUCGUUUAUUUAUUUAUUUCUUUUUGAGACAGAGUCUGGCUCUAUCAUCCAGGCUGGAGUGCAGUGACAUGAUCUUGGCUCACUGCAACCUCUGCCUCCCGGGUUCAAGUGAUUCUCCUGCCUCAGCCUCCUGAGUAGUUGGGAUUACAGGCAUGCACCACAAUGCCCAGGUAUUUUUUUUUUUUUUUUUGUAUUUUUAGCACAGACAGGGUUUCACCAAGUUGGCCAGACUGGUCUCGAACUCCUGACCUCAAGUGAUCCACCUGCCUCGACCUCCCAAAGUGCUGGGAUUACAGGCUUGAGCCACCGUACCAGGCCCUGAAAUUUUAAAAUAUGACUUAUAUCCCUACCACAAAGAGAUAUCAAUUUUGGUAUAUUUUCUUGUCUUAAUUUUUUCUAGUCACAGAUUUUAUUUUAUACAUGAUAUGGUCACACUGAAUAUGUAAUUUUGAUUAGAGAUUUAAACAUAUCUAUUUUGUACUAGAAGUAUAUAUCUUCUCAAGAAUAAUGGACCGUUAUUUAUUUAACUGUUACCCUUCUGUUGAACCAUUUUAUUUGUUUCCAAAAUUUUGCAACCGUAACAAAACAUGCCUGUACUUCUUUUUCCAUAAUUAUGUUUUUAUUUAUUUAGAAACAUUUCUUGGUAAGAGAGUUGGCAGUAAUCCUAAGUUAAAGAUAUGAAUAUUUGAGGGGAUGAGGGAGUUCACUAAUAUAUAUUACAAAACUGGAACAUAUACUUAAGAUUAGGAGUAUGAGUAUGAGAUACGUUCCAAAUAACAUGGUUAGUAACUUGGAUGAAAGCAAAAUACAACUCUAAGACAUUAUUGAAAUUUGUUCUGGUGGUUCUCUGAACUUUUGAUUACUUACUUUCUUGUGCUCACUUAUGUUCUAAAUGUUUGAGAUUCUGGAACAAGUGAUCUUUGGGAAAGAAAGAUGCGUUUUAUAAAACACACCAUGCUAUACUUUUGCAUUUUGGCCUCUUUUAAGCAACUCAGUAGAAGACUUUUUAAUUUCGAGGAGAAACACAAUUUUUAUCUUUGUUUCCUUCUUUAUUAAUAAUGAGAUUAACUUUUUCUGUUACUGCAAGACUUCUUUAAUAAACUGUUUUUUUCUAAUCACAGUUAGAAUGCAACAAAAAUAUAUUAGAGAAUUAUCUUUGAGAUAUCAUAAUUUAUGUGAAAUUAUUUUGAAAAGUGCUUGUUCAUAUCUUUUGCCCACUUUUUGAUGGGGUUGUUUGUUUUUUCUUAUAUAUUUGUAUAAGUUUCUUAUAGAUGCUGUAAUUAAAUUUAUUUAUGAAGUAGAAAAAGCAGUGUAAGUUAUAUCUAGAUUUGUAGACUUUGUUGCUGUUGUUAAUCACCCCUUUUGAUUAAACCUGUUUGAAAAAUCAUUUAUCUCUCAUUUUACAAAGUCUGUUAAUAGAAACCUGGCUCCCUUCUCUCCACUUAUGUUACUUGCCUGUUCUAAUAGGGCACAUAGUGCUGUAGAUGUAGAUGAAAAGGCAUAAUCCUCAACUGCCCUCGUCAUCUCCUACUUCAGCUUCUUCCAUCCAUUCAAAUCCUUUAGUCUCUUUCUCAGAGCACAAAAGAUUUUGGAUGUUCAGAUUCAGGCACUUACUGAAUUUUUCUGCAUUGUAAAGGCUGGAGGAGAAAAGGUAUUUUUUUCUCUUGGAAGCUAGGAACAAUUUUUGCUCCAACAUCACGUGAAACUGAAAAAGUGGGGCUGGCGGUGGAAGAGAUUGUUGCCCAGUGUGCUUCUUCCCUGGCCCAGACUGUGUUUCUAUACAAGUGGACCUCUGAGGACAUACAUUUACCUAACAUCACUUUCUCCAACUUAGGACAACACUGGGCUUCCUGGAAGCUCAGUUCUCCUUACAGGGCAGGCCCAGACUCCCUAUUUCCAGAGAAAUUUCAGGGAUGUUGCUCAAUUGUCAACAGAAGCAAGGGAAACCCAAGCAUCUUAUACUUAUGUCUUUAUGAUAAUAGAUUUAGCUAGGAAAGUGAGGAUGGAUAAAUUUUGAAGGCUUGUCAACCUUAUAUUUCAUUGCUUAUCUAAGCAACUUCUUUUGUUUUUAAAUUUAACUUUCAUUUUAAGUUCAGGGAUACAUGUGCAUCUAGUUACUUAAUUGCUGCACACACUCAGCCUUAUCAGUCUUAACCUGAUGCCAUAACGUAGCUUCAACGUACCACUCUUAGAUUUAGAUCUUCAUCCAAUUCUUCUUUCCUGAACCCUUAGUUUAUAUCCAUGACUGCUUAGAGAUGUGUAGAUGACACACAGAAGUCUUAAAUUUACUUAAACUCUAUAUUCACACAGCAAACUAUUUGGAUUUGCUUUUUAGCCACACUCCUCAAACCUGUUCUUUUUUCCUGAAUAUCAAUUUUAAUAAAUUGUGCUACCAUCAACCCAGUCUCCUAUAUUAUUCUAGAUUAUUUUUCUUCACUCUACUUUGUUCCUAAACUAAUUGUUGUUUAUUAAAAUGAUCAGUUCUACCUUUCAGAAGUGCUUAAGUCUAUCUGGACAUUGAUUUGGUUCAAACCUCACCAUUUUAAAGGUAAUUUUUCUCAAUAGCCUCUAAAUACCUUGUAUGUCAUUUCCCAAAUGGCAUGUUUUUAUACUUCUAAGCCUCUUUAUAUAUAAAGAUGAAUAGUUCUAAAUGCUCUUCUUUUUCUUCAGCUGUUUCAAGCUAACUUCUAUUUGUCCUUUAAGAUUCAAAUUGUUCAAGAUCUUCAUGGUGACCUCCAUCCAGUCUGGAUUGCCAGUCCCUCUUUUUUCUUCUAAACCAUUAUAUGUGUACUUUUCUUACAACUUCUAUUUAUAAUGUAUUACAAUUGGUAUUGUUUAACUGUUUCACUCUUGGUAUUGUUUAAUUGUUUCACUCUCCAAGUGUGAGUUUCUAAAUGUAGAGACUAGUUUAUUCACACCCAUACACAAUUAUUUGUGUGUAUAUGUGUAUUAGUACAUACGGAAGUGUAGUAGUAAUAUACAACGUAUAUAGUAAAUUAACAAAUAGUGAUGUGGUUCAGAGAAGAAAUACUUCCCAAACUGUGAUCUUAAAAUAAGAACAACAAUAGAAAAACAAUAAAACUCUCCAUUUGUACUUUGUUGGGCUAAACAUGGCAACAAUAAUACAGUCUGUCUCCUCUUAUGUUCUUUAAGAGAUGUUUGAAAAUCUUGUGACACUUGAGUAAGGUCAAGCAGAGAAGCUUUCUUUGUUAGAGUGAGUCACUAUAAAUGAUCUCUUUGUUCUCUCAGUUUGCUAGGGAUAAAGCAAUAUAAGGUACCAACUUUUUCUCUGUUUUUCUGUUAAGAACAAUAAAAAAUAAGCUCAGAAUGAAAUCUUCAAAAAUAACUUCUCCUUUUUAUGUUUUAUAGAGCCAGUUUAUAAACUACCCCUGCUCUAAACAGGCUAUCUUAUCCAGCAAGAUCACUCAAUCCUGUGAACAGCCAGUGCCAUUCCAAGGGGAAGGCAUAUUAACUCAGAAAAUGCUGACACACCUGACCUUUCAUCCCUGCCACUCAGCAGUUCUACAGAAGACCAGUUUGUAUGCAAACAAUUCACUUACAAGCCAGAAUUCCUACAAGCAUAAUACAGUUUUUCUGUAAACUCUUAGUGAUAGAAUAUGUAUUUAUGAAUUCCUUGGGAAGGGUUGCAAACUCGAAUGACCACAAGGGCCAGCCAGGGAUAGAGUGGGAACUGUGGGCAGGAGGAGAUGCUUUGUUGAGUCCAGAGGUGGCAGUGACUGUUCAGUGCCAGAAACAUUGCCAUGUGGGAACUCAGACUUCAGGUAGUUGGGUCUCCUGCAUUUUGAGAGAAGCUAGAAAUGUCUUGGUAUUUAAAUGUUCACAACUAAGAUAGGAAUUUAAAAAAAAAUGAAGUCAAGUGUAUGCAGGUUUUGUUUAAAGGGACUUAGAAAUAAGCAAGAGCUUUAGAUUCAUAUACUUGGUCAGCUCUUCUGUUUUAAUUAACUUAAUAUCUACUGCCAGACCCAUGGUAAAACAUUUAAAGAUUAGAGAGUUGGGGUAUUAACAUCUCUGGUGUGCAUUCAGAAGUGUAUAUUAACUAGGCAAACUGAUUUCAAUAUACACUAAGACAUUAUUGCUGUGGAAAUUGUCUGGAAAUGGAAAUAUUUCCAAAGUCCCUUUAGGGAGUGUUAUUUAGAGCUAAACAGAACAACAGAAUCUCAGUUUUCCUCAAAGUUCUUUGUAGAAUAAUCUUAGUUAUAUUUCCAAAAUUAUAUUUGAUACUGGUUAAUAAAGGUAAAUGCUGCUAUCUGAACUCACUUAUUAUAAAUGUCUAAACUUGCAUUUGGUACUAAAAUGUUGACAGGCACAACUUCCUAGUGGAAAGCACAUCGGACUGUGAGUUGGGAAAUGUGAGUUCCAGUCCUAGUUUUGAGUGCAUAGCUGUGGAAUGGAGGUCAAGUCAUUUGAUUUACCCAGGCUUUUGAUUUACCAGGCUUAAUUUACAACUGUAAAUUAAGGUGGUUGGAAGAUAACUUCAGAUAACUUCAAAGAUCCCUUCUAUAAUUCUGUUCCUUUGAAAAUAUUCUAGAGUUCAAAUUUCUCUUUCUUGUGACAUAGAAAAAUGUUUAGAUUAUGCAUGGAUGGUUCACUUAAAAGUUUAUUUGGGACAGGCAGCCAGCACUUUUUUUGAAAAAAUGGUCAUACUUACUAAUAUAAAGUUUAGUCUUAAAGAUUAUUAGGAAAAAUGUAUUCUCACCAAACACUUGAAAUUAUUUUUAGUAAAAGUAAAUAGAGUCUCUGAGCCAGAAACUACCUGUUGUUAAUCAGGAUGUUUCGGGCUCAAGUUCUAAAUCUGCCACUCAUUACUGUGUGACUUUAGAAAGAUCAUGUAAUUGGCCGGGUACAGUGGCUUAUGCCUGUAAUCCCAGCACUUUGGGAGGUUGAGGCAGGAGGACUGUUUGAGGCCAGGAGUUCAAAAGCAACCUGAGCAACAUAGUGACAUCCUGUCUCUACAAGAAAUUUAAAAAUUAACUGGGUGUGGUGGCCCAUGCCUGUAGUCCCAGCUACUUGGGAGGCUGAGACGGGAGAACCUCUUAAGCCCAGGAGGUAGAGAUUGCAGUGAGGCGUGAUCGCACCACUACAUUCCAGCCUAGGCAACAUUGUGAGACCCUGUCUCAAAAACAAACAAACAAAAACAAACAAGAAAAUCAUAUAUUAAUUUGAUUUUCUUAUCUUAAAAUGUAGGCAAUAAAACCUCUGUUCUAGCUUUCCAGGUUUCCAAAUGCUUUAAGGUCAGUUAAAAUUUAAUAGUCAUAAUUGGCUUUUGUGGAAAACUUCAUGACCUCAGACUUUUAUUGUUAACCUUUUAAUGUGUUUCAUAUGAUACAGGUUUCCUUAUGAAUAUUCAAAAAGAUAUCCAAAGUUGGCAGUUCCAGUGAUUUUAAGAGUGGAUAUAGUAUAUAAAAAUGGAUUGAGAAAGUGCUACAAAUUAGAAAACCCUUUGGAAUGCUAUAGCUGUGGGGCAAUUUUCUUUAAAAAAAAAAAAAAGCAAAAACCCCCUUUCUCACAAAUGAUUAUAAAAAUAGGCAAUAUUCUAGUGCUAUUAGUAGUGCCAUGCUUUUGUAAAUCAUUGUGCAUGUUUUUGCUAACUGCAAACACUAGACAAGAAAUACAAUUUCCAUCUAAACCACAGGCCACAUCACCAUACUGUAGCAACUCUAUGGAUGAGUCACUGACUUAUGGAUUCUGUGUUUCAUGAAGCUUCUGCAAUCUCUUCUUUACAGUGAAUAUAGCUGUUUGCUUGGCAUAGUAGCAGAUAGCAAGACAGCACAGCCUAUUAGAGUGGAGAGGAGAAAUGGAAGAAUGAAGGGCAAAAACAUCUCUUGUCCUGAGUGGGCUCAAGCAGGUAUGCCUAGCAUCUUUCUUUCCCAGAAAGAAGGAUAAGUGAGAGUGAUUUAGUCUCCUGUAGGUAAGCACUGUCUGAUGGCAUCACUGUUAGGCCUCCAUAAGAGUCAUUAUGAUAAUAACACCUUACAGGAGAUUGACUUUUUUUUUUUUUUUUUUUUUUGAGACUGAGUCUCGCUCUGUCACCCAGGCUGGAGUACAGUGGCGCAAUCUCGGCUCACUGCAAGCUCUGCCUCCUGGGUUCAUGCCAUUCUCCUGCCUCAGCCUCCAGAGUAGCUGGAUCUACAGGUGCCUGUCACCACUCCCGGAUAAUUUUUUUGUAUUUUUAGUAGAGAUGGGGUUUCACCGCAUUAGCCAGGGUGGUCUCAAUCUCCUGACCUCGUGAUCCGCCCGCCUCGGCCUCCCAAAGUGCUGGGAUUGAGAAUGGACAUUUAGAGUUUACAAAGCAGCUUUACAACCAGUGUCCUAUUUGAUUACAACAGCCUGAGUCACUAAGUACAUUUUAUAGAUGGUAGAAUAUUGAGUUUCAAGAGGUUCAAGUGACUUGCCUGAUGUCACACAGGCAGUAAGGACAGAGCUAAGUGUGAAAUUCAGGCCAACUGUUUGCAAAAACAAUAACAAUUUUCCCUAUAACAGGCACUGCUCAUUAGGAUAAGGUGGACUAGAUCUGACUAAUUAAGCUGAUAACCAGCGCUCUUGCUAAAGAACUAAGCCUACAAGAUUAUUGGUACCUUCCCACUGGAAUCUUAUAUUCAUGGUUCAAGAACUCUGAAUUUGUCUUUCUCUUGAGAAUCCAUUUAAUUCACUUCAAUUUGUAUUCAUGGAGUAUUUUACUAAGUUCACAAUUGGUAUAUGCUUUUAUUAAAUCAUGACUUCUUAAUAUGUAUCUAUAUUUCUAUACCUACAUCUAUAUCUCUGUAUCUGUGCCAUUUAUGUAAAAAGCCCAUUUUAUUGAAAUAACCAAUACAUACACAUGCACACUGACCAAUCAAACUUACCUUAAUAAAAUAGCUCUAAGGUUCUCUUUCUGGCUUGUUAAAUAAUUUGCCUUGUGUUUGUAAAGUAUUUCAUUUAAGGCCACAAAUGAGUUUAUAACACAGAAAAUUGAAGGCCAAUCUUGCUGUCCCACUUUUUCUCCACAAAAUACAUGGCAGUUUCCCUUUUAGCAAAACUUGACUUCCAAUAUUUGCAAACUCAGUAACUAAAU